GACGAACGCUGGCGGCGUGCUUAACACAUGCAAGUCGAACGAGGCCCGCUCUUCGUGGUGGGUUCUAGUGGCGAACGGGUGAGUAACACGUGGGCAACCUGCCCCUGGCUCUGGGAGUAACUCCAAGAAAUUAGGGGCGUAAUACCGGAUAUGUCCGCUGACCGCAUGGUCUGGUGGUGGAAAGGUUUUCCGGUCUGGGAGUGGCCCGCGGCCUAUCAGCUUGUUGGUGGGGUAGUGGCCUACCAAGGCGACGACGGGUAGCCGGCCUGAGAGGGUGACCGGCCACACUGGGA
rnacentral:rRNA from 1 species